rnacentral:rRNA from 1 species
GGCUCCGGCCAUAUCAGCCUGAAGGCGCCCGAUCUCGUCUGAUCUCGGAAGCUAAGCAGAGUCGGGCCUGCUUAGUAUAAAAAAAAAAAAAAAGAGUCGAGAAUUGUUUCCU